rnacentral:rRNA from 1 species
AGAGUUUGAUCAUGGCUCAGGAUGAACGCUAGCUACAGGCUUAACACAUGCAAGUCGAGGGGCAGCAUGGUUGGUUGCUUGCAACCAACGAUGGCGACCGGCGCACGGGUGAGUAACGCGUAUCCAACCUACCCUUGUCCAUCGGAUAACCCGUCGAAAGGCGGCCUAACACGAUAUGCGGUUCACAGCAGGCAUCUAACGUGAACGAAAUGUAAAGGAGAAGGAUGGGGAUGCGUCUGAUUAGCUUGUUGGCGGGGUAACGCCACAAGGCUACGAUCAGUAGGGGUUCUGAGAGGAAGGUCCCCCCANAUUGGAACUGAGACACGGUCCAAAACUCCUACGGGAGGCA